AUUUUUUAAAUUUCCAAACACGGCGCAAAGACUACAAAGAUAUGCCAAAAUAAAAAUAGUUAUUUACGAUGUGAACUGGCACAACUCUAAAUUCCCAAAGGUGGUGACAGUUGAGAUGUUAAACAACUGCGUGGAAAUACAGUCCUAAUAAACAGUCCUGACAGAUCUAAGCUGGUAUAAUAUUUAAAAUAUGACAACGGUAGAGCAAUUGCAGACUGCGUUUUUAAACAUCCCAAAAAUAUAGUAAUUAGAUGAUAAGAAAAAUGAGUAAUACAUUUUUACUAAGGUUAAGUAAUAGAACGUGGC
rnacentral:lncRNA from 1 species